rnacentral:tRNA from 1 species
CGCGGGGUGGAGCAGUCCGGUAGCUCGUCGGGCUCAUAACCCGAAGGUCAUCAGUUCAAAUCUGAUCCCCGCUA